rnacentral:misc_RNA from 1 species
CAAAACUAGCAUUUGGCUCUGCCACUGCCAGUACCCUUGUCUAUGCGUACCGUAUGUUGUUCCCUCGGUGGGGUCUCCCCGCCGCUGGGCUCUUGAUAAACUCCAUUUUGCAGCUAAAAAGCAGUACACCUGUCUGAUUGUGGGCUUUGAAAACUAUUA